UGCGACUAUACAUGUACUCCAUGCUGGGCUUCCUAUAUGAGGAAAGAAAUCUGGAGAAAACGUGCUCUUCUCUUUUCCUCAUGACUUCACCAUCGAUCCAAGGGAAUCCUGUAUAUGACCUGUUUGUACAUGACAAGAGUGAUGUGUGGAACAGGAAGCCAGCCUAGAACUUGAGCAGGUUGCCAGGAUACAUCCUGGCAACAAAGGCUGGGGUUCCUGUUCCAGGCAGCCAGCCUCACAUACUACAUGAACUCUUGCAAGAGGGGAUGUGAAUCGUGGAGCUCCCAGCUAUUCUGCUCCUGUUUCCACCAGCUCCCUCAUUGAGGGGUUCAGCAGGUCAUGACAGAAGCCAAAAUAGAAAGAUGAAGAACA